GAUGAACGCUGGCGGCGUGCCUAAUACAUGCAAGUCGAGCGAACAGACGAGGAGCUUGCUCCUCUGACGUUAGCGGCGGACGGGUGAGUAACACGUGGAUAACCUACCUAUAAGACUGGGAUAACUUCGGGAAACCGGAGCUAAUACCGGAUAAUAUCUUGAACCGCAUUGUUCAAUAGUGAAAGACGGCUUUGCGGUCACUUAUAGAUGGAUCCGCGCCACAUUAGCUAGUUGGUAAGGUAACGGCUUACCAAGGCAACGAUGCGUAGCCGACCUGAGGGGGUGAUCGGCCACCCUGGAACGGAGACACGGUCCAGACUCCUACGGGAGGCAGCAGUAGGGAAUCUUCCGCAAUGGGCGAAAGCCUGACGGAGCAACGCCGCGUGAGUGAUGAAGGUCUUCGGAUCGUAAAACUCUGUUAUUAGGGAAGAACAAAUGUGUAAGUAACUAUGCACGUCUUGACGGUACCUAAUCAGAAAGCCACGGCUAACUACGUG
rnacentral:rRNA from 1 species